rnacentral:rRNA from 1 species
AGAGUUUGAUCAUGGCUCAGAUUGAACGCUGGCGGUAGGCUUAACACAUGCAAGUCGAGCGGUAACAGACAUUUUGAUUUUGCUUGCAAAAUCUCGUGCUGACGAGCGGCGAACGGGUGAGUAACGCGUAGGAAUCUACCUAGUAGAAGGGGAUAGCCCGAGGAAACUCGGAUUAAUACCGUAUACGUCCUUAGGGAGAAAGAGGGCUUAGCUUUGAUGCUCUCGCUAUUAGAUGAGCCUGCGUAAGAUUAGCUUGUUGGUGAGGUAAAGGCUCACCAAGGCGACGAUCUUUAGCUGGUCUGAGAGGACGAUCAGCCACAUUGGGACUGAGACACGGCCCAGACUCCUACGGGAGGCAGCAGUGGGGAAUAUUGGACAAUGGGCGCAAGCCUGAUCCAGCCAUACCGCGUGUGUGAAGAAGGCCUUCGGGUUGUAAAGCACUUUAAGUAAGGAAGAAAAGAGUAUUGUUAAUACCAAUACUCCGUGACAUUACUUACAGAAUAAGGACCGGCUANUUCCGUGCCAGCAGCCGCGGUAAUACNGAANGUCCAAGCGUUAAUCGGAAUUACUGGGCGUAAGCGCGCGUAGGUGGUUUAU